rnacentral:rRNA from 1 species
GGAUUAGAGCUUGCUCUUAUGAAGUUAGCGGCGGACGGGUGAGUAACACGUGGGUAACCUGCCCAUAAGACUGGGAUAACUCCGGGAAACCGGGGCUAAUACCGGAUAACAUUUUGAACCGCAUGGUUCGAAAUUGAAAGGCGGCUUCGGCUGUCACUUAUGGAUGGACCCGCGUCGCAUUAGCUAGUUGGUGAGGUAACGGCUCACCAAGGCAACGAUGCGUAGCCGACCUGAGAGGGUGAUCGGCCACACUGGGACUGAGACACGGCCCAGACUCCUACGGGAGGCAGCAGUAGGGAAUCUUCCGCAAUGGACGAAAGUCUGACGGAGCAACGCCGCGUGAGUGAUGAAGGCUUUCGGGUCGUAAAACUCUGUUGUUAGGGAAGAACAAGUGCUAGUUGAAUAAGCUGGCACCUUGACGGUACCUAACCAGAAAGCCACGGCUAACUACGUGCCAGCAGCCGCGGUAAUACGUAGGUGGCAAGCGUUAUCCGGAAUUAUUGGGCGUAAAGCGCGCGCAGGUGGUUUCUUAAGUCUGAUGUGAAAGCCCACGGCUCACCCGUGGAGGGUCAUUGGAAACUGGAAGACUGGAGUGCAGAAGAGGAAAGUGGAAUUCCAUGUGUAGCGGUGAAAUGCGUAGAGAUAUGGAGGAACACCGGUGGCGAAGGCGACUUUCUGGUCUGUAACUGACACUGAGGCGCGAAAGCGUGGGGAGCAAACAGGAUUAGAUACCCUGUAGUCCACGCCGUAAACGAUGAGUGCUAAGUGUUAGAGGGUUU